ensembl:lncRNA
GUGUGCUCAUGUGCAUGUGUGUGUAUGUAUGACUAUUGCACAGCAGUACUGCCUGAGCUCAGUAGCAGUGGAGCAUGUAUUGGAAUCAAUAGCACUUCAGCCGGAGAGCAAAUCAAUGGAAGCUUCACUGUAAUGGAAUGCACGGUCAAGGGAGAAGUAUUCACUAAUUACCAGAACUCACCUGGUUCCUCGACACUGCUCCGUUUGGACUUGCCUACUCACUAAUCACCUACCUGCCUGCCCUCCUGGACUGGGGAGCAUAAUCCGUUGGUUUUCCUUGGCUCAGAAACCCCUCAAACCCCUCUUGAUACCUCCUCCUGAGAAUGUCAGCUCACAAUGCUUUCCCUCCCUGUGACCCUGGACUCUUGUUCUGACCUCUCCCAUAUUAGCUGGUUUCUCAUAGUCAGUUGUUUCAAUAAAGUGUUUGCAUCAACUAGAGUUGCCUAGUUUGA